CUACUACAGGUGUGAUAAAUUAUCUAUGCCUUGGUAAUGCUGCAUCAACAGAUUGUGCUGCUUCCAGUAAAUCAUUUGACAAAUUUGACCUCAAAUCAGGUAGGACUACCCGCUGAACUUAAGCAUAUCAAUAAGCGGAGGAAAAGAAACUAACAAGGAUUCCCCUAGUAACUGCGAGUGAAGCGGGAAAAGCUCAAAUUUGAAAUCUGGCAGUUCUCUUGACUGUCCGAGUUGUAAUCUAGAGAAGUGUUACCUGUGCUGGACCGUGUACAAGUCUUCUGGAAUGGAGCAUCAUAGAGGGUGAGAAUCCCGUCUUUGACAUGGACUACCAGUGCGCUGUGGUGCGCUCUCAAAGAGUCGAGUUGUUUGGGAAUGCAGCUCAAAAUGGGUGGUAAAUGCCAUCUAAAGCUAAAUAUUGGCGAGAGACCGAUAGCGAACAAGUACCGUGAGGGAAAGAUGAAAAGAACUUUGGAAAGAGAGUUAAACAGUACGUGAAAUUGCUGAAAGGGAAACGCUUGAAGUCAGUCACGUUGGCUAGAAAUCAGCCUUGCUUUUGCUUGGUGUACUUUCUGGUUUGACGGGUCAGCAUCGAUUUCUUUGACCAUUGGAUAAAGUCUUUGGGAAUGUGGCAUCUUUGGAUGUGUUAUAGCCCAUUGUCGCAUACAAUGGUUGGGAUCGAGGAACUCAGCACGCCGCAAGGCCGGGUUUAGACCACGUUCGUGCUUAGGAUGCUGGCAUAAUGGCUUUAAUCGACCCGUCUUGAAACACGGACCAAGGAGUCUAACAUGCCUGCGAGUGUUUGGGUGGAAAACCCAUGCGCGCAAUGAAAGUGAAAGUUGAGAUCCCUGUAAGAGGGGAGCAUUGACGCCCGGACCAGACCUUUUGUGACGGAUCCGCGGUAGAGCAUGUAUGUUGGGACCCGAAAGAUGGUGAACUAUGCCUGAAUAGGGUGAAGCCAGAGGAAACUCUGGUGGAGGCUCGUAGCGAUUCUGACGUGCAAAUCGAUCGUCAAAUUUGGGUAUAGGGGCGAAAGACUAAUCGAACCAUCUAGUAGCUGGUUCCUGCCGA
rnacentral:rRNA from 1 species